rnacentral:lncRNA from 1 species
UCCCCAUGGAUAUUAGUAGGCUGAUAAAAAGGGGCAAUUUUUGUUUGAUGAUUUGAAUAUAAAAGUAUUAUAUGUGCUAUGUUACAUAUUAUAUAUGAAUUCAUGAUAUUUAUAAUGUUAUUGUUUUCAUAGGUUGUUUUUAUAAAAUCUCACUACGGUAAGUGGACGGUAAAUGGUUUGAUUACUGAUUAAAUGAAUUUGUUUAAAUCUACUGCUCCAUUGGUUAUUUUUAUGAUUUCUACCAACCUCUACUUCUGUGACGGUGAUUAGUGUGAUGUCCUUACUGGAGUAGUGUAGCUCAUUCAUUAUUUAACCAUUUCAGAUCAGGAGGACCUGGUUCCCGAGCCUGAUCCACAAGAAGACGAC